GACGAACGCUGGCGGCGUGCUUAACACAUGCAAGUCGAACGGAAAGGCCCUGCUUUUGUGGGGUGCUCGAGUGGCGAACGGGUGAGUAACACGUGAGUAACCUGCCCUUGACUUUGGGAUAACUUCAGGAAACUGGGGCUAAUACCGGAUAGGAGCUCCUGCUGCAUGGUGGGGGUUGGUAAGUUUCGGCGGUUGGGGAUGGACUCGCGGCUUAUCAGCUUGUUGGUGGGGUAGUGGCUUACCAAGGCUUUGACGGGUAGCCGGCCUGAGAGGGUGACCGGCCACAUUGGGACUGAGAUACGGCCCAGACUCCUACGGGAGGCAGCAGUGGAGAAUAUUGCACAAUGGGCGGAAGCCUGAUGCAGCAACGCCGCGUGCGGGAUGACGGCCUUCGGGUUGUAAACCGCUUUCGCCUGUGACGAAGCGUGAGUGACGGUAAUGGGUAAAGAAGCACCGGCUAACUACGUG
rnacentral:rRNA from 1 species